rnacentral:rRNA from 1 species
CAGCAGCCGCGGGAAUACGGAGGGGGCUAGCGUUGUUCGGAAUUACUGGGCGUAAAGCGCACGUAGGCGGCUUUGUAAGUUAGAGGUGAAAGCCCGGAGCUCAACUCCGGAAUUGCCUUUAAGACUGCAGAGCUAGCAGGUGAGAGAGGUGAGUGGAAUUCCGAGUGUAGAGGUGAAAUUCGUAGAUAUUCGGAAGAACACCAGUGGCGAAGGCGGCUCACUGGCUCAUACUGGACGCUGAGGUGCGAAAGCGUGGGGAGCAAACAGGAUUAGAUACCCCCGUAGUCCCUGUCUCUUAUAC